rnacentral:ncRNA from 1 species
AGGAGCCGUAUGAGGUGAAAAUAUCAUGUACGGUUCUGUAAAGGGACAUUAAGGGUGACUUAUCUGUCGACUUUUCCACUAUCAACCCCAAAAAACCCAACUCUGCCUUACGUAAAGUUGCCAGAGUAUGAUUAACCUCUCAAUUUGAA